rnacentral:pre_miRNA from 1 species
AGUGAAAUUGCUGGAUUAUAUGGUAAUUCUUUAACUUUUUGAGGAAUUGUCAAACUGUUUUCCAGAGGAGCUACACAUUUUACAUUCCCACCAGCAAU